CACUACUUCUGAAAUGAGAACGUGUGUUGGCUACUACAUGAUUCCAUCGAUAAGUGGAGGAGUAUGCGUCAACAUCACAUGAUCGUUUUGUGGACUUUGUCCUGAGCAUGAGCAAUGUUAGCGCCAUGUGAUCAUUCCGUGGACUUUAUUGUGAAGCGCCAUCAAGCCACCUUGACAUUUUUGCAAGGGAGUGUAAUCCAAAUUCACUCAGCCUCUAGACUUAGGGGAGGCCUUUUAUCCCAGGGACCAAUCUAAUAAAGCUUUGCUAUACCAUCUCCAAGGUGGGCAAUAUACAGAAAAGACAAACAUGGUCUUUCAGAAUGGCAACUCUCAGCCUGGUCUCUCGGCAGCUCGUGGCAGGUCCCGAUCUAGUCUUUCGGUAGCUGAUGGAGGGUCCCAGCCAGUUUUUCAGCAUCUCUCAGCCUGGUCUCUUGGCAGUACGUCGGGCCUGUCUCUCAGCAACUCAUGGCGGGGUCUCAGCAUGGAGUGUGAGUGGAUCCUGCCUGGAUAUGUUCCCGAAGCACUAGGGGAGGUCGGAGAAGCAGCAGUUUCA